rnacentral:rRNA from 1 species
CCUACGGGUGGCAGCAGUGGGGAAUAUUGCACAAUGGGGGAAACCCUGAUGCAGCAACGCCGCGUGAGUGAAGAAGUAUUUCGGUAUGGAAAGCUCUAUCAGCAGGGAAGAAAAUGACGGUACAUGAGUAAGAAGCCCCGGCUAACUACGUGUCAGAUGCCGCGGUACUACGUAGGGGGCAAGAGUUAUCCGGAUUUACUGGGUGUAAGGGGAGCGUAAACGGCGAUACAAGUCUGAAGUGAAAGCCCGGGGCUCAACCCCGGGACUGCUUUUGAAACUGUGUGGCUGGAGUGCUGGAGAGGCAGGCGGAAUUUCUAGUGUAGCGGUGAAAUGCAUAGAUAUUAGGAAGAACACCGGUGGCGAAGGCAGCUUGCUGAACAGUAACUGACGUUGAAGCUCGAAAGCGUGGGGAGCAAACAGGAUUAGAUACCCGGGUAGUC